rnacentral:rRNA from 1 species
UACGUAGGGGGCAAGCGUUGUCCGGAUUUAUUGGGCGUAAAGCGCGUGUAGGCGGCCAGAUAGGUCUGCUGUGAAAACUCGAGGCUCAACCUCGAGCUGUCGGCGGAAACCAUCUGGCUAGAGUCCGGAAGAGGAGAGUGGAAUUCCUGGUGUAGCGGUGAAAUGCGCAGAUAUCAGGAAGAACACCCGUGGCGAAGGCGGUUCUCUGGGACGGUACUGACGCUGAGACGCGAAAGCGUGGGGAGCGAACAGG